rnacentral:snRNA from 13 species
CUAAUUGCCUGGCAGGGGAGACACAAUGGUUGUGGAAAGUGGGUUUUCUAGAGUGAAGUCAAUCCUUUGCACUCCAGAUGUGCUGAUCCCUGGAAUUUCUCAGGAACCUCAGCAGCAUAAUUUUUGGUAGGAGGAGACUGUCUGCACCUUUUCUUG